rnacentral:rRNA from 1 species
CCUACGGGCGGCAGCAGUGGGGAAUAUUGGGCACUGGGCGCAAGCCUGACCCAGCAACGCCGCGUGAGGGAAGAAGGCUUUCGGGUUGUAAACUUCUUUUCUGAGGGACGAAGCAAGUGACGGUACCUCAGGAAUAAGCCACGGCUAACUACGUGCCAGCAGCCGCGGUAAUACGUAGGUGGCAAGCGUUAUCCGGAUUUAUUGGGUGUAAAGGGCGUGUAGGCGGGAAAGCAAGUCAGAUGUGAAAACUCAGGGCUCAACCCUGAGCCUGCAUUUGAAACUGUUUUUCUUGAGUGCUGGAGAGGCAGUCGGAAUUCCGUGUGUAGCGGUGAAAUGCGUAGAUAUAAGGAGGAACACCAGUGGCGAAGGCGGAUUGCUGGACAGUAACUGACGCUGAGGCGCGAAAGCGUGGGGAGCAAACAGGAUUAGAUACCCGAGUAGUC